GAAGGACUAGUAACCAACAUUUUUUGCUUUGAUCCAGCAGGUCCAAUGAUAUUAUCCAAUGGCCAAGCCUAAUUUACAAUUUUGGGUUAGGCUGAAUGAAUACAAAAAGCUUUACAGAGUACAGAUUAUAGACAACCGUUGUAGGCUUUUGAGCAUGGGCUGCUUUUUCACGUAUGCUACUUCCGGUUCAGCCAAGCCUAAAAGGCUAAAAUUAGAAGUAAAAAUGGGCCCAAAGUUUUUCCACCCUACCUGGCUACCUGUCCUGUCGUAUCAUUCGUGGCUUCGUGCAUUUGGGUGGCACCUCAGAGUGACAAUAACAACCAUAGAGUGGGCUGAUGAUAACUAAACCAACCCAGCCCAAUUGAAGAACAACUAAGUCCAAAUAUAUUUUCCGUUGCCGGACUUGUUCCCCGUCGGCCGUCAUUUUGUUUCUCGUUUUCUCCAAUUUCCCGAUUCCGCAUCCUACUCGUCCUCCUCCUUUCUGUGUUUCUCAGCUCAGCUGCAGUUUUCGCCGAGGUAAUUCGUCUCAAUUUUAUUUUUCUCUAUCUUUUUUGUAAUUUGGCCUGAUGAAAUCAUUUUUCAUCCACAUAAAAUUCGGGAUGUUGUGGUUUCAGAGAUUAAGAUUGUUUUGUUUUAACGCCCUGUGAUUAUGUGUAGUUGUGGUAGGGUUUAAAGGAAGAUAGGUGGGUUAGUUUUUGCAGACAGCAGAACGAGUUCGCUUCACUAGGAGCUGGGGCUGUAACAUGUAGAUAAAAUUUGUGGAUGCUUGAGAGUCAGAGCCUCUCAGGCCUCAGCACGAGCACUCUUCGCCUUAAUAAAAUUUGGUUAAUAAUUGAUUGCAUCUUGUAAAUAAGUACGUGAUAGUAAUCUUCUAUAUACCUCUACACUUGAAUAAUUGGUUGGCAAUAGCCUAUGACAUGCAGUGAACUGAAAACAUAUUCUUAUCUUAUUUUAAGGUCAUAAGUAGAAACCAAGUUGUUAGUUGAAAGGGUUAUUGUAGUUUUGGAAAAUAAAGUCAUAGCGGAGGAAGAUAAAGAUGCAGCAAAGGAAAUUGGGGAGGCCUUCUGGAACUGAUGGCUCUGAUUUCUCCUAUCGCAUGGUUGUUGAUUCUAGGUAUACAAAAGUAGCCAAGGGAAAGUCUCGUCUCUAUUCACUGAUCUUAAUCCAGGUAGAAGGCACAGUCGAGCAACUUUAUUGAGGAUUUUCAUUAUUGCAUCGUCUACUGCAGUAUUACUUUCGGUCUUCUUUGUCCUCAGGAGCAGUCCAACAUUGGCGGUGGAGCAUACUAUCAAUAUGAGGCUGUGGAUGUAUGAUAAUGGAUGCUCCAGACUAGAUACAGGAUUAUGUCACAUGUAAUCCAGAACCCAUUUGAAUGGAAAGCAAAGAAAUUUGAAGUUAAUGAGAUUGCUCGUAUUUUGGUUGGAUUGCUGGUGCAGAUAUUUACGAUCAGCAUCACAGUUUCUCUCAUCAGUAACAUGUCUCCUCCCAAGAAAGCUUCGUAGUGACUGGUUUUCGAUUUUAUCUCUCGCGCAAAGUCCUAAAAGAGGCAAUCCAUCUUUUCAAUUUUCCCUUUUCCUUUUUUUUACUUGCUUUAUUUGUGCAUCUAUGAGUUAUAUGAAAUUAUUAAUACAUGGCUUACAACGUGGACAGAGAUUUGCGAGUUAUUUUUCUCCGUUAAACAUUGCUUACAUGAGUUACAACGAGUUUCCAGGAUAUUAAUUUUGUUCA